rnacentral:rRNA from 1 species
GACGAACGCUGGCGGCGUGCUUAACACAUGCCAGUCGAACGGAAAGGCCCUGCUUUUGUGGGGUGCUCGAGUGGCGAACGGGUGAGUAACACGUGAGUAACCUGCCCUUGACUUUGGGAUAACUUCAGGAAACUGGGGCUAAUACCGGAUAGGAGCUCCUGCUGCAUGGUGGGGGUUGGAAAGUUUCGGCGGUUGGGGAUGGACUCGCGGCUUAUCAGCUUGUUGGGGGGGUAGUGGCUUACCAAGGCUUUGACGGAUAGCCGGCCUGGGAGGGUGGCCGGCCACAUUGGGACUGAGAUACGGACCAGACUCCUACGGGAGGCAGCAGUGGGGAAUAUUGCACAGUGGGCGGAAGCCUGAUGCAGCGACGCCGCGUGCGGGAUGACGGCCUUCGGGUUGUAAACCGCUUUCGCCUGUGACGAAGCGUGAGUGACGGUAAUGGGUAAAGAAGCACCGGCUAACUACGUG